GACAGAGGGUGCAAACGUUGUUCGGAAUUACUGGGCGUAAAGCGCGUGUAGGCGGCUAAGUAAGUCGGGCGUGAAAUCCCACGGCUCAACCGUGGAAGUGCACUCGAAACUGCAUAGCUAGAGUCCUGGAGAGGAAGGUGGAAUGCUUGGUGUAGAGGUGAAAUUCGUAGAUAUCAAGCGGAACACCGGUGGCGAAGGCGGCCUUCUGGA
rnacentral:rRNA from 1 species